UACAGAGGGUGCAAGCGUUGUUCGGAAUUAUUGGGCGUAAAGCGCGUGUAGGCGGCAUUGCAAGUCGGGUGUGAAAGCCCGGGGCUCAACCCCGGGAGGCGGAUGGAUACUGCAAGGCUCGAGUACGGAAGAGGCGAGUGGAAUUCCCGGUGUAGCGGUGAAAUGCGCAGAUAUCGGGAGGAACACCAAUGGCGAAGGCAGGUCUCUGGGCCACUACUGACGCUGAGAAGCGAAAGCAUGGGGAGCGAACAGG
rnacentral:rRNA from 1 species